UGAAUAGAAACUUUCAAGGCGUCUGGCGAUCGACAUUGCUCGUGUGCUUUCUGUAGAGUGCAGGGCAUCGUGCCUUCUUCGCCGGUACCGGGGCUCCAAUCCGCCUGGGGAGUGCAAUUGCAUGUGCGCGGGUGGAAGAUGCCUGCCCGCAUUACCCUAAACCGGAUUAGGAUAGCGGUUGGGGAUUGUUGGUCUUUUAAAAAUUGGGUCAAGCUGAAAAUUGAAACCAGACAAAGGUUAUGUUUCCUCGGCCCUCCCCAAUUUUCCGUUGGCUUAACUAAACCUUGUUCUGGUGGAAGGUUAAACGAACUGUGCCCCGCCGGGGCUGGCCGGGGACGUCGGAGGCAAUGAGGAACUUCCUAUUCUGGAAAAAGGGCCCGGCAAGUUGUUAGGAAACUUGGCGCUUUGAAUGCCCAAUGGGGCAAAGCCCGGCCCGUCUGGCUCCACCAGAUGGUUUGAUCACCGAGAUCUUGACCGUCGUCCGCGAAACAUCACUUCGCAUUCACUAGACUGGAUAGACAGUGAACUGCGUGUUUUCUGACAUCGUAAAGAGGAGAUCGAUCCGAGUUGGGUCGUGCAGCAAUAUCGUUUGCGCGGGCCUUCAUUAUCUCCGGAUCAUUUCGGCGCUCGCUUUCAGCCGUGAGGUUGAAUGCGGGUUGUAAAUGAUCCUUUUAGCGAAGCUUGACGGCCUCGCUAUCGGAACGAUCUUACGAAGCAAGCUGGUCUUUCUAGUCAAUGUCCGGCUGUACGUAGCAUUCAUCGAGGGUGCGCGCCGCAAGGCAAUCGUACAGACAACAUUCUGCCGAGUGUGUGGACAUUGAUAAUGAGAGCAAUCAAGUGCCUUAGGGUGUUCGGUGGAUGCCUUGCGCUGAGAGGCGAUGACGACGUGCUACGCUGCGAUAGCCGUGGGAGCUGCGAAGAAGCUUUGAUCCGCGGAUU
rnacentral:misc_RNA from 1 species